GAUGAACGCUGGCGGCGUGCCUAAUACAUGCAAGUCGAGCGAACGGACGAGAAGCUUGCUUCUCUGAUGUUAGCGGCGGACGGGUGAGUAACACGUGGAUAACCUACCUAUAAGACUGGGAUAACUUCGGGAAACCGGAGCUAAUACCGGCUAAUAUUUUGAACCGCAUGGUUCAAAAGUGAAAGACGGUCUUGCUGUCACUUAUAGAUGGAUCCGCGCUGCAUUAGCUAGUUGGUAAGGUAACGGCUUACCAAGGCAACGAUUCAUAGCCGACCUGAGAGGGUGAUCGGCCCACCUGGAACUGAGACACGGUCCAGACUCCUACGGGAGGCAGCAGUAGGGAAUCUUCCGCAAUGGGCGAAAGCCCUGCGGAGCAACGCCGCGUGAGUGAUGAAGGUCCUCGGAUCGUAAAACUCUGUUAUUAGGGAAGAACAUAUGUGUAAGUAACUGUGCACAUCUUGACGGUACCUAAUCAGAAAGCCACGGCUAACUACGUG
rnacentral:rRNA from 1 species